ACGUGCGAUCAUACCAGCACUAAUGCACCGGAUCCCAUCAAAAUUUCGCAGUUAAGCGUGCUUGGGCGAGAGUAGUACCAGGAUGGUUGACCUCCUGGGAAGUCCUCGUGUUGCACCUC
rnacentral:rRNA from 1 species